CUUGUUGAGCGGCCCCAUCGUUGGAGGACGAGACGAGUGGGUGAGCCGAAGUAGAGCGUGGGUGAAUGGAUGUUAUUUGGCUGUGGCCACACCGUAAAGUUUGGAACACUUACCGUGACAGCGACUGCAAAUUCCUCCAGGACGAAAUCCGACCGGGUGUGGAGUACCGACCUUAAAAAUCACUGAAGUGUGUGUAGUGCAGUGGGUGAGUCUGUCUUUGACGUGUGUGCACUAAAGCUUUGCAGUGCUGUGCCGUGUCCCUGUUGUCUGUACUUGCCCUCCAGGCCGAGAAAGGUUCCUGUUGGAAAGAACGUAGGCUGCCGUGGCGGUGCCCACCUAUUCCACCUACGCCCGCCUAUAACUCCGUUCUCUGGACCCAGCUUGAAGGGAUUUGUGUGUCGCCUUAUACUUACCUAGGAGGUCAAUGGGAGUGGAGGAGCUGUCCAGACGCUGGAGAAGAGAAGGGCGCCACGGGAAAUCAAGCCGCUAAGGAAGGACUUAGGAUUAGUCAGGAGACUGGUAGAAGUUCUGGGAAAGGACGAAAGAGCCCUUUGCCCCCCCCUCCCCUUGUGAUUACUUACCAAAGACCUCCAGAGUUCUCAGGCUCAGUUCCCUCCUGCCAAGAGACGAAGAUCAAAAUUUUAGAUUCCCCUUUUCUCCUUUCCUAGAUUACCUUUUUAAAUAAUUUAAAUAAAGUUGUUUUAAAUUACCCUUAACUUAUCUUGUGUGUCUGGUCCUUGGGGUGAUCUUGGGACCUCCUCGAGGUGGAAGUCGGGAAGGGGCGUGACUCGCAACACCUGUGGUCCGCUCCGACCUGUGACAAUAUGACAACUAUUUUCAUAUACACUACACUUAAAUGUUUGGAUUCAGUAAAGUUUUUAAAGCAAGAAAUACUUUGUAUUGAGCAAGGAUGCAUUAAAUUUGAUUAUUUUUUUAUUUAUUUUGAUCAUUCAUUUUUAAUGUUAUAAAAGAUCCCCAUUUCAAAUUAAUGUUGUUGUUUUGACAUUUCUAUUCAUCAAAGAAAAAAAAUGUAUUACUGAAGAUUGCUGAAAAGCCAGCUUUGAAAUCAUAGGAAUAAAUUAAAUUAUUAAAUAUAUUAAAACAGAAGUGAUAUAAAUUGUAAUAAUAUUUCACAGCAAUACUGUUUUACUGUACGUUUGAUUAAAUGCAGCCUUGGUGAACAUAUGCAACUUGUUUAAAAAAAAUAAAAAAUCUUAUCAUCCUCAAAUGUUAAUUCAAUUCUAAACAGUUUACAAAACUGCAAAGCACAAAUUUCUCUUGAGCUACAUAAAUUAUAUUAACUACUUGGCCUACAAUAAUUUAUUACAGAGUAUAUGCAACGUAAACAGACAUCAGAACAUCAAUUAUGUAUAUGGUGAACCACUGUAAUAAAUAAAUGACCAAGAGUCAAACUGUUUGUUCUACUUAAAUUUCUCACACAUGCUCAAAUCUUCCUGUUAGAACAUCUACUACAUUUCCUGUUCACACAGCCACAGAAUCACCUGCUAAAUUCUUCCCUUUUUUGCCUCUAAUACUCUCCUGUUGGGCCACUGUGGCUAAAGUUGCACUGUCGCCUGUGGUACUGAAGAUUUUAGCUUCCCAACCAUUAACAUUUCAGCUGGUCAGGGACCAUGUAAUAGCUGCAGGCAAAGAGUUCUGGGUAAGGAACAUGAUUCUUUAGCAGUAUGGCCAUGAUUGUUUUUACAACUCUCAUUACUUUGGACAAAGUAUAGCUACUAGUCAUACAGUUUGCAGAAAAAAGGCUGAAACUCAGGUUAUAAGAAUUGUAGACCAUUAUCACUUAAUACAAUCUCUGGGGAAAACAUCCUUCAGUUGCCUGGAUUACACCAUCAGCUGUGGUGAUGCACCUAAAGUAAUAGUCAAUGAUCACAAAAGGCUGCACCCUUUUAAGGAUGACAACAUUACCCUAUCUAAAAAUCAUCUUACAUUCAAAACAUUCUGCUUCUAUCAUCCAGAACACUUUGUGACCUACAAAGAGAUCUUCAGAAAGAGCAGAUGAGCACGUCUUGUUUAGAGUCUGAUUUGUUUUCCAAAGUCAUGACAGGACCAGUGUAAGCCGCUCAUCAUGUUGAGCUUUAUCUUUCUACACACUAACAAAUCAUCCGCAUGGUAGAUCACCCAAAGCUGAUGACAAAGGGUAGGAGCAGAGCCAAAUGGUGUGAUAAACAUUCAACAUACUCUCAUGCCAGAAUAAUGUGCAUCUAACUUUGAAAAAAAAAAAAAAAAUAGCCAGUAAUUGUGCUAUUGAUGAUAAUAUAUGCAGCUCAUAUAGUAAGAUCAGUUAGAUCAGAGCAUAAUCUUAUUUUUCCAUAAACCUGCAAACCAUUCUGUUGGCUAUUCUAUCCUUUAAAUUGCUCUCAUUUGUUCUGUAAGCUAUAGUUCCUCCUUACAUUUUCCCCAGUGGAAUUAGCACUCUGCAGAGAGUUGUGACUGCAUGACACAGCAUCAGCAAAUUCUGUAGCCACAUUCCAAUUUUCUAUAUCCAGUAAAUGUGUUGGGGUUUCAACAUUAAUAAUACUGGGGUAUUUAUAUAAAAAAAAUAAUAAUAAUAAUAAAAAAAUUCUUCUUGAUUCAUUUAAUCUUGACUCCUUAACUUAAAAAAAAAAACAGCUAGCACAAUGCAUAGCUACAUGCUAAAUAUAAUUUUUUUUUUUUUUUUUUAACUAAAUGUAAUGUAUGGGAGAAGCAAAUACGAAGAUACAGGCCACUAUAACCUGCCAUUAUUAAAGCUGUUACUCACCAUUGAAACAACAUAGUCAUCACAUACAGUAGCCACCCACAACCUAAGCACAGACUACACUCUUCAACACAAUGACAAAAACUCCAAGAUAACAGAACCUCUUAUAAAUCUCCAACACAACUGAACAUAAAACUCUAACAACUUCUAACUUCUAACUUUCGACUUUCCCUUUACUAAAACAACACUUUCAACAUUUACUCUUCCACUCCAGGCACAUGCAAAGCAUCCUGGGAACUAAAAGCAAAAAUGCCAGAAAAAACGAUUCAUGUAGUCACAACACAAAAGGAUUAGGUCAACUUCCAUUUCAAAAAUUUAAGUGGAUUGGACAUAAUAGCAUGUUCAAGAACUGUGUUGCUUUAGCUUGUGUUAAUAAAUUAAACAAGCAGCAACGCUCAUGUUUUUGAGUGCAAAAGAAACCUGGUACUUUAGAAAAAAAUGUCAACUUCUCUUCAGCAAAAUUUACUACAGUAUAUCUAUCAAAUACUGCACGGCCCAAUAGGCGCUAAAGAACUGAACAAAGACGUGUUGACUGAUUGUGCAGCUUUUGCUUUACUUGUCCUUCUAGUAGCAGAGUAAUACUGGAGCCAUAAAGUUUCUUUUUUGCCAUCAGAGUCCCAUUCAUCCUACAUUCAAAUAGCUUUGUGGGAAUAGCUGCGACUGCAGUGCUUAUAUCUAUUUUGAAAAAGAUAAUGUCCCCAUUUAGUGUUAUAUAAGUGUGCCAUCUUGAGUUUAUGCAUUAUUUUUAUUUAUUUUUUUCUCGUCUGUGGGCAUGAGACUGCAUUAACAUCAGUCUUUUCAUCAGUCUGUAGAGAAGUGCUCCACCAAAGCCUGCUGCUGUUUCACUGUCUCACUCUAUUACACUUGACUGAUGCUUCAGUUUAACAUUAAAUCUGGGUACUUUUGGUUUUUUUUAUUUUUUUUUUAUUUUUUUAUUUUUUGUAAGUGCCACGUCUAUUAUUUCAAAUGACAAUGAGAUCACGGAUUUAAGAAAUCCUAAGUGAAUUUAUGAAGUUAUCUACUGACUCUCCAUGUUCUUGUUUAUGCCCAUUAAACUUGGACCUCUCAAAUAUGACAUUAUACCUUCUAAUAAAAUGUUCAUCAACAACAAUAGUACAUAAGAAAAUUAACCUGGAAUGCAUCAUCUCUCUUGUUCACUCUUGAUGUGACACAGCACCUUUCGAAGCGUCUGAUUCAUCUUGGCAACUGUCUGCCAUCUGUGCAGUCAAACUUGUCGGGAGCAUCAAUGUGAAAACAUUAAUGUGUACACGUCUCAUCUAAAAACAUAAAACAAAUGCAUCUAAUAAUGUUAUACUUUAUAUGUAAUUAACUUAAACUUCCUGGAUGUCACAUUAUUUGAUUAUACAGGACCACUUCUGACACAGCAUAUUCUAUUGUUCAAAAGUGGCAUCAGUUAGAACUGUAUUUUAUUUUAUUUUAUUUUAUUUUAUUUUAUUUUAUUUUAUUUUAUUUUAUUUUAUUUUAU
ensembl:lncRNA